rnacentral:tRNA from 1 species
GCAGAUAAGGGGUUUCCCGGUUGUGAUUUGAAGUCAUUGUUAUCUUCUGGCUAGAGGAUAUCUGCU